GCCCCCUUAGUUAAAUGGAUAUAACAAACCCCUCCUAAGGGUUAGUUGUGCGUUCGAUUCGCGCAGGGGGUGCCA
rnacentral:tRNA from 1 species